UCCCCACCCACCCCACGUCUUGCCCGGCGCCGACGCGGGAGGACGCGCGGGGACAAAGGCAGAGCGGUGGGUGCGGGAGGCCAGAGACGCGCCGCUCGCUGGUAUUUGCAUCCAAAGUUCAGGCGGGACAGGAGCCCGGGGACCAGCCACGUCCGCAGCCCCUGCGCCCCGGCUCUGACAGGACGAACAAGGAGGCGCACAGGAAAAGGCAGCCAUUGGUGAGUGGCGAAGGACUCAACCGUUAAUACUGGCCUGGCUGCAGGCAAGGGAAAGGCAGCUGGCUCAGGGAAAGACUCACUUGCCUGGUUAUCAUAUCCUUCCUCUUGGCAGCACAUGGAAUGAGAGAAUGGAAAGAGACUGAAGCAGUGACCUCUGGGGAACAAAUCCACAUUUUUGACAAGAAGCCAGGUAAUUGUACAUUAGCAGCUCAUCAUCUUCAAGUUGGCUCAUCUACCAGAAGGCCAGCCAGGAGGUUGAAGCUGUUCUCUGGGAAGCAGAGCUCCUACCAUGUGCCAGGCACUGUGAGCCUACUGUGUGUGAAGUUUCUGGGAUAAGGAUUUUGGGAACAGCUUAACUAGUUGGGUCUGACUCAAGAUGUCUCACGAGGCUGCAGUCAGGAUGAAGGGAGGUGGCCAUUUUAGGCUUUGUGGCAGAGGCUAUAUCCCGAGGAAGACAGAGCAAUAAUAAGGAGCCGGAGCCACCAGCACCGUGGAGUGCCACACCAGCCUGAACUGAGCACCUUCAUGUGAGAGAGAAGUAAAAUCCUA